CGAACGCUGGCGGCGUGGAUUAGGCAUGCAAGUCGAACGCGAAAGUUAUCCUUCGGGGUAGCGAGUAGAGUGGCGGACGGGUGAGUAACGCGUAGGUGAUCUACCUUUAAGUGGGGGAUAGCCCCGGGAAACCGGGAUUAAUACCGCAUGUGAUCUUUCGGGAUUAAAGACGGCCUCUGUUUACAAGCUGUCGCUUAGAGAUGAGCCUGCGUCCUAUUAGCUAGUUGGUAAGGUAAUGGCUUACCAAGGCGGUGAUAGGUAGGCGGCCUUAACGGGUGGUCGCCCACACUGGGAUUGAGAUACGGCCCAGACUCCUACGGGAGGCAGCAGUCGAGAAUAGUCUACAAUGGACGAAAGUCUGAUAGUGCGACGCCGCGUGAACGAAGACUCCUUUCGGGGUGUAAAGUUCUUUUCUAUGUGAGCAAUGCUUGUUUUGUUAACAGCUUAAUGAGAGAGAUAUUAGCAUAGGAAUAAGCUCCGGCUAACUCC
rnacentral:rRNA from 1 species